UUUGACCUUCAGCCAACUGUUGCUGAAAACCUUAUUUUGACAGGGUUUUGACUGAGGGAUUUGAAAUUCCUCUGGGCUUCUUUAGGUACUUACUUUGUAGGAAGGCUACUGAAGUCCUAAGACUCUGGCACUGUGGUUAGCACUGGGGAUACAAAUACCAGCAAGCAAGACAAUCCCUUCCCUCAAGAAGCUUACAUUCUGUUGAAGGAAGGCUGCAUAUAAAAGAGAACUGGAAAGCUGUCAGGGAGGUGAACGUGCCCAGAUAUUGAUAGCAGCACUCUGUAGUGCCGAAGAACUGAAAACCGAGUGGGGACAGUAUACACUAUUGCUACAGCAGUGUAAAUGAAAUUAAAAGUCAAACUCUGAUUGACAAGAAAAAAAAAACCCUGAAGGAUUUUUCAGAAGGUUAGAAGAACAAAGUUCAUGCUGGAACUUUCUCCUCUCCAUCUCAUGACCUCCUGGUUUCCUAUAUCUUCCAGGAGAGUGAUAGACUUGCCACCUGACUAACUCCUCUGGGUUUAUCCAGUCACCUUCGACAAUAAAAUGGAAGCAGCAGCCCAGUCAAUCCUGGUGGCAUGCUAGAUCCUGUUCAAGCAUACACUGAGCCAGCAGGUUCACCAAAAGGCUAUUGAACGCUUGCUGGGAGACAUUCUGCAGGGCGGAUUUCAACUGGAAAAUUGCCAGGGUUUUUUUAUGCUUCUGUGGUAGGCAUUGCUUGAACAUUGUCAUUUAGCCAAGCAAAGAGUAUUUUGCUUUAAGGACAGAAAAUGUGAAUAAUUUGUGUUUGUUUAAAAACAGGUUAAAUUGCAAUAUGAUCACAGGGUGGGGUAGUAAAAAAUAAAUAACUCAUUUUGUGAGGUGACUGUAUUUUUUCUUAAUUCCUUUGUCAGAAACUCUUGUUUUUUUACCCUAAAGUAUUUUUAAUAUUCAU